rnacentral:rRNA from 1 species
UGGGGAUAUUGCACAAUGGGGGAAACCCUGAUGCAGCCAUGCCGCGUGUGUGAAGAAGGCCUUCGGGUUGUAAAGCACUUUCAGUAGGGAGGAAAGGGUGUAGUUUAAUACGCUAUAUCUGUGACGUUACCUACAGAAGAAGGACCGGCUAACUCCGUGCCAGCAGCCGCGGUAAUACGGAGGGUCCGAGCGUUAAUCGGAAUUACUGGGCGUAAAGCGUGCGCAGGCGGUUUGUUAAGCGAGAUGUGAAAGCCCUGGGCUCAACCUAGGAAUAGCAUUUCGAACUGGCGAACUAGAGUCUUGUAGAGGGGGGUAGAAUUCCAGGUGUAGCGGUGAAAUGCGUAGAGAUCUGGAGGAAUACCGGUGGCGAAGGCGGCCCCCUGGACAAAGACUGACGCUCAUGCACGAAAGCGUGGGGAGCAAACAGGAUUAGAUACCCUGGUAGUCCACGCCGUAAACGAUGUCUACUCGGAGUUUGGUGUCUUGAACACUGGGCUCUCAAGCUAACGCAUUAAGUAGACCGCCUGGGGAGUACGGCCGCAAGGUUAAAACUCAAAUGAAUUGACGGGGCCC